AUGUAAUCAAUGUUUACAUGUGGAGUAAAUACUUUUUGGGGGGUUAAUUUUAAUACAUGUAUCACAAAAGCAACUCAAUAGUUACAUAAAGGAGAAUGAUUGUUGUCUAAGUAAAAUUUUUAUCUAGCUCUCUUAAUAAUAAGGACUAAGUCAGAAAAUCCACCAGGAUUUCCAAAAAUACGCCUUUUGAAAUUUUCUAAGUUUUUAUUUCCCUGUGCGAAAGAGACUAAGAAAAAAAUACGCCUGGAUUAAGAAUUUACGCCAGGAGAAAAGGAGACGUAUUUCUGGCAAAAAUACGUGUACGCAUGAAAAUGAACCGUAUUUUUAAGAAUACGUCUCUUGUACGCCAGGAUUUGCAAAAAGUCCAGGCGUAAUACGCCUCUGAAUUUCAUACGGGUUUUUGAGGGCAUUUCAGCAACAAACGAAGAUGCACGUUUUCCCCCAGAAUUUGACUUCCUGGACACCACUGUCUCUCCAAUUAUAACACUGUUUAUACCAGUUCUAUAGGAAUUGUCGCUGAUCCUGGAAAAAGGAAACCAGUGUACUAGUAUGCUCCAGAAAUUCUAUGGCACCACACAGUGCAGCUUUCCCAGCUUCACCAAGAGUGUUACUACUUGUAAAGAUACAGUACACUCUCUGAUGGAAGAUUCACCCACCCAUUCUUGAUAAUGUCUCUGUAAGCAGAUGGAUUCCUAUUGUACAAGUUUUUUUUCCACUGGAGAAGAAGUCAGCUUCACCAGGUUGUAAGGUGACUCCAUUACAAAGAGAAACUGUCUGCAAAGUUUUGAACAAGCCUGAAAUCGCAGUUUCAUUAAACUCUGUGUAAUUGGAAAUGAGAUACGUGGAUAGAUCUACUGAUGUACCAGCAACCAACAGUUCAAUAAAACCUGUAUUUUUAAUAUUAGUUCAGUGAGGACAGAAUUUCCAUUAAAUUUUUCAAUGGACAAUAAUCCUAAUUUUAGAUUUUCAUCUGUUCUUUCUAAUACAUUCCACUGCUUUGGAACAAAUGUUGAUAUACCUGCAAAGGUGAGAGCUUUUUCAGGUAGAACUUCAAAUACUGAGCCUCUAACACCAGGUUUUCUUUUUGUUCCAUUAAUUCCGUUUUCCCACACAGAAGACUUUUUUAUUGUGGGAAACAUUUUUUUUAACAUUUUAAACAAAUGGUCAUAACUGCAUGUGUCUUUAAUGUUUGGAAACACAUGAAAUGCUUCAUUAAAUAUUUUGUCCAUUGACAUGUUGUUUAAAUUCAGUACUUUGCUUUUAUCCUCUGUCAAAUUUUCAGCUAGCCUACAAAAUCAA